CUNCCAGAGUACUAUGAAUGAUUAAUUUAAAACUCAAAGGACUUGGCGGUGUCUUAGACCACUUAGGGGAACCUGUCUCGUAAUCGACAGUCCACGUUAUACCUGACCUCUUUUUGUUGUCAGUUUGUAUACCGUUGUCGUCAGGUAACUUUUUAGAAUAAAGAAGUUAGCAAUAUAAAUAAAUUAUUUAGUACGUCAAAUCAAGGUGCAGCUAAUAAAGAGGGGAGGAUGGGUUACAAUUAUUUAAUUUAUAAUUACGGAAGUAUACAUAGAAAUAUGUUGUGGAAGGAGGACUUAAAAGUAAAUUGAAUUAUAUAGAUAAUUUGAAUAAGGCUCUGAGACGUGU
rnacentral:rRNA from 1 species